UACGAAGGGUGCUAGCGUUGUUCGGAAUCACUGGGCGUAAAGCGCACGUAGGCGGGUUUGUCAGUCAGGGGUGAAAUCCCGGAGCUCAACUCCGGAACUGCCCUUGAUACAGCAAGCCUUGAGUCCGGAAGAGGUAGGUGGAAUUCCUAGUGUAGAGGUGAAAUUCGUAGAUAUUAGGAAGAACACCAGUGGCGAAGGCGGCCUACUGGUCCGGCACUGACGCUGAGGUGCGAAAGCGUGGGGAGCAAACAGG
rnacentral:rRNA from 1 species